rnacentral:rRNA from 1 species
GAUGAACGCUGGCGGCGUGCCUAAUACAUGCAAGUCGAGCGAACAGACGAGGAGCUUGCUCCUCUGACGUUAGCGGCGGACGGGUGAGUAACACGUGGAUAACCUACCUAUAAGACUGGGAUAACUUCGGGAAACCGGAGCUAAUACCGGAUAAUAUAUUGAACCGCAUGGUUCAAUAGUGAAAGACGGUUUUCCUGUCAUUUAAAGAGGGAUCGGCGCCGCAUUAGCUAGUUGGUAAGGUAACGGCUCACCAAGGCAACGAUGCGUAGCCGACCUGAGAGGGUGAUCGGCCACACUGGAACUGAGACACGGUCCAGACUCCUACGGGAGGCAGCAGUAGGGAAUCUUCCGCAAUGGGCGAAAGCCUGACGGAGCAACGCCGCGUGAGUGAUGAAGGUCUUCGGAUCGUAAAACUCUGUUAUUAGGGAAGAACAAAUGUGUAAGUAACUAUGCACGUCUUGACGGUACCUAAUCAGAAAGCCACGGCUAACUACGUG